AUGGAAGUAAAGGAUCUGAUUAUAACCUGUGAAAAUAAGAUGCAGACCGAGCUUGACCCUAUCUACCCCCAGCUGGUGAAACGGUGUAGCCUUCUAUCCUCCCUGGAUCUCCCAGCUAAAAUGGAAUCCAAGGAAGAGCCCAGAAGUUUGAAGGCAAGGAAAGAGCCAGUGAUGGAAGCCUUCUCUUUCUUUUUUAGAUCAGUGUAUCACUUUCAGCCUUCAUUAUUUCCCUCAGGUAAGACAUACCCUCCUCCAGAGGGCCCACCGAGCCCUACUUCCCCCAACAUAGAUGCAUCUACACCUCAGGGGCCCAUCCCAGGGACUAAUAAUAGCUUUCCUCAUUUACACAGCAGCAGCUUACUUGUCUGCUCUUUUACUCCCAAACAUCCAAAAGUCUUUUCUUGAGGGUUUCAAAGAUAUCAGGGCCCUAAAGUAAGUGGCUAGAUUGAAGUUUGGCUGAAAAGGACCCAAGUUAGCCGUGUCCCAGGAUAAACUCCUGAUAAGGUCUGGACUAUGAGACAUCUAGUCUUUUUAACCACACCCCUCGUACCCACAGAGGAGUCAUACAGAAAUAUUAAGUUUGUAUUAAGCGUCUACUCUAUGACCAAACCUGAGGAGGUGGUGCUGGAGAUGAAGCCCUCAAAAAACAUACCGUAUUCAGCUAAGACAAAAGCCCUGCCCUCAUAGAAGGCAUUCAUAGAGUUCAGUCUGGUGACUUUGCUAGGACCCUUUCAUAUGCUGUUUUUUUAAUUUCCCUCUCUCUCCUCCCCACCCCCCACCCCAUUCCCCAGCUAGUCUGUGUCCUCAAUCCAUUCUCACACUGCCUGCUCAUGCACAGGGACUAUACUCUUUCAUCUUCUCCAGCAAGAAAUGCCCACAUCUCCCAAGAACCCCACCAGGUACUUCCCAGAGCAGAGGCACACCUAUUAUGUCCAGGUCCUACCGCCCAAAUCCCCUGUUCAUCCAUAGAGAUCACUUUUCAGCCCAGAGGCGAGCCUAUCAUGACCUACUCUCCACCACCCAACUCCCCCCCUUCUCUGCUCUGAUCCCUCCAGUCUUAACAGUUUCUAUGGGGAAGGGGGGUGGUGUAGUGUGACCUUCCCCAUCUAUUACCACACCACCCCAGAGGUAUUGAUAGGAAACUCCUGUGUCUUAACUUGGGAUGGGCAAGGGAACAUUCAAUAAUCCAGGGACACAAGGAGAUGUCACUUUUCCAGUGACAAAUCCAGUGCUUCCUCCAACCAGAAAGAAGUCCUGGCCUUAAGAGGAAAGACACUGCUGUUCCUCUAUUUCCUUUUCUUCCCAGGUUUCCGAAGAAUCUAAGUAUAAGAAGCUGCAUACCUACCAGAGAUUCGGAGUGUCCCUCUGGAACUAUGUUCCUGCAGGGCCAUUCCAGGCUGACUUUGUACAGUGGGUUAGGCCCUGGGAGACAGGACCAAGGACAGCGGAUGAUGAAGAAUUCAGCUGGACCACAGAUCAGCUUCUGCUUCCCUUGGCAACUGGACAGAUCCAGAAGACAGGAGUCUGCAUCCCAUCCAAACCUAUAGACCAAUAGCCACAAAUCAAAAGAUCUGCCUCCUGUCCUCUGAACCAUUCAGCCAGGACCCGCUCACCUGACCCCUGAGCUCCACUCCCAACCCCAAAGAAGGGUCUAAUACCUGGCUGACCUUCUCCCUUGCCAGCUCUGCCACCUUUGAUGAGUUACUCCUCCCUUGCCUUCUUUCUUAAAUCAAGACCUUCUAUGCAGUGUUCUUGAUGGUCCCUUACUCACCCAUAUCUAUCGGAAGUUUCAUAAUACAGGGACAUGAUUCUUUUAAAGUACUGUGUCCUUGGUGGAUUUUUGGCAAAGCUGUUGGUAAAAUAUCUCACAUUCUUGUGGAGAAGAUGGCAGAUAUGGAAUUGAUGGUCAUUUUCAGAGUUGGUUGGAUGACAAGACACUCAAGGCGUAUUUGGUAAUGGGUUCAAUGUCAGCUUGGUAAGAAAUCUCCAGCAGAGUGUCUCACUGAUCUGUACUGGCCCUCUUUUUUUAAUCAAAAACAAUUUUUUUUUCAAAUAAAAUCUGCCUUUUCUACCUCCCA
rnacentral:lncRNA from 1 species